rnacentral:rRNA from 1 species
CAGAUUGAACGCUGGCGGCAGGCUUAACACAUGCAAGUCGAGCGGAAACGAUGGUAGCUUGCUACCAGGCGUCGAGCGGCGGACGGGUGAGUAAUACUUAGGAAUCUACCUAGUAGUGGGGGAUAGCACGGGGAAACUCGUAUUAAUACCGCAUACGACCUACGGGAGAAAGGGGGCAGUUUACUGCUCUCGCUAUUAGAUGAGCCUAAGUCGGAUUAGCUAGAUGGUGGGGUAAAGGCCUACCAUGGCGACGAUCUGUAGCUGGUCUGAGAGGAUGAUCAGCCACACCGGGACUGAGACACGGCCCGGACUCCUACGGGAGGCAGCAGUGGGGAAUAUUGGACAAUGGGGGAAACCCUGAUCCAGCCAUGCCGCGUGUGUGAAGAAGGCCUUUUGGUUGUAAAGCACUUUAAGCAGUGAAGAAGACUCUGUGGUUAAUACCCAUAGACGAUGACAUUAGCUGCAGAAUAAGCACCGGCUAACUCUGUGCCAGCAGCCGCGGUAAUACAGAGGGUGCAAGCGUUAAUCGGAAUUACUGGGCGUAAAGGGAGCGUAGGUGGCUCGAUAAGUCAGAUGUGAAAUCCCCGGGCUCAACCUGGGAACUGCAUCUGAUACUGUUGAGCUAGAGUAUGUGAGAGGAAGGUAGAAUUCCAGGUGUAGCGGUGAAAUGCGUAGAGAUCUGGAGGAAUACCGAUGGCGAAGGCAGCCUUCUGGCAUAAUACUGACACUGAGGCUCGAAAGCGUGGGUAGCAAACAGGAUUAGAUACCCUGGUAGUCCACGCCGUAAACGAUGUCUACUAGUCGUUGGGUCCCUUGAGGACUUAGUGACGCAGCUAACGCAAUAAGUAGACCGCCUGGGGAGUACGGCCGCAAGGUUAAAACUCAAAUGAAUUGACGGGGGCCCGCACAAGCGGUGGAGCAUGUGGUUUAAUUCGAUGCAACGCGAAGAACCUUACCUGGUCUUGACAUAUCUAGAAUCCUGCAGAGAUGCGGGAGUGCCUUCGGGAAUUAGAAUACAGGUGCUGCAUGGCUGUCGUCAGCUCGUGUCGUGAGAUGUUGGGUUAAGUCCCGCAACGAGCGCAACCCUUGUCCUUAGUUACCAGCGGGUUAAGCCGGGAACUCUAAGGAUACUGCCAGUGACAAACUGGAGGAAGGCGGGGACGACGUCAAGUCAUCAUGGCCCUUACGACCAGGGCUACACACGUGCUACAAUGGUAGGUACAGAGGGCAGCUACACAGCGAUGUGAUGCGAAUCUCAAAAAGCCUAUCGUAGUCCAGAUUGGAGUCUGCAACUCGACUCCAUGAAGUAGGAAUCGCUAGUAAUCGCGGAUCAGAAUGCCGCGGUGAAUACGUUCCCGGGCCUUGUACACACCGCCCGUCACACCAUGGGAGUUGAUUGCACCAGAAGUGGAUAGCCUAACCUUCGGGAAGGCGUUCACCACGGUGUGGUUGAUGACUGGGGUG